rnacentral:lncRNA from 1 species
UGCCUCUUUAAACGGAGAAGAGGUAUCCCGUGUGCCAGCGGAGAUUCCACCAGUACGCGCCUCAUUCGGUGGUUUCCCAUCCGGAAACGGCUCUCACUGGAUUUGCAGGAUUAUUAGCAAGAAUAAGCAGUUGGGCACAGCCAGCCAUGUAUCUACGGCUAUUCAUCUUCCUUAGCAACUCCCUUUCGGAGUGGGUCCCUGUUUUGUGUCCCCUGGGCCUGUCCUGGGACUUUAUUCCAGGGUCGCUGGGCGACCCCUGCCUCCAGGCCAUCUCAGGAUGGACCCUCUGUCCACAGCAGGCAUGCUGCUGGUCGCCCGAGAGCAGGAUGCCGAGGGCAGUGGGACUCCCCCGUUCCAUCGGAACCGGGAGAAGAAGAAAGUCAGGCGAGCUGGGUUAAGAACCCCAAGCCCCAUCCUCGCCCUGCCCUUUCCUGGCUGAUGUGGGGCCCCGAACUUCCCCCUCUCUGAAUCUCAGUUCCUCUGUCUCUAAAAUGGGCAGGAUAAUGAGGGCACCUGAGACCCAGCCCCAUUCUCCCACCCACUAGUCACAGAUGGCGGCCUGCCUCGAUAUUCCAGAAGCAUCUCCUUUCAAUGACCUCUCCAACCCAUCAUUACCUCCCCUCGGAGGUCCCUCUACUGCUGACGGGCCAAGUUCUCAGGGAGGUACCACGUCCCAGCAGAAGGAUGCUGAGGCCUCCCUGAGGCUCCGGAGGCCCCUGGCAUGGAAACCAAAAGCUCAUCUUUGUCAGCCCAUCACUGACCACAAGAACAGCCCUCAUGAUGCGCGAUCGCUCUGGCACGAUAGAAGCCGAUUUCUUGUUCUUGCAACUGUCCAAGGCAGGUGCUCCUGGUCGGCAGAUGUGCUGCCCCCCGCCCCAAGUAAUUCAGGGACCAGCCGCUGUCACCAUCCUUGGGCCUCACCGUAAUAUGCACCCUCAGCAGACAAAGGAGAGAGAGGCUGGAAAGGCACCUUAGGGGUGUCCAAGGGCCAGGCUUGCUUUUCACUGGAUAGAACCCAGUCCCGCGGCCACACCUAACUGCAAUGGCAGAUGGGAAAUGUAGUCCUGCUGUGCGUCCCGAAAGAAAAGAAAAGAUUUUGGUGAGCAAGAAGCCAGCUCAGCUGCUGCGACCUGUUUUUCUCGCAUAAGAAGAAUGCCAGAGUUGCAAGUGGCUGCUGCAGAACCAGACAUCAUAUUUGCAUUCCAGAUUUCGGUGUGUACGUCAGAAAGAAAACUCUGAAGCCAUAAUUCAUGGAGCUAAAAACACAGGAUUUGGAACUGAAGAGGGCCCGUCAGUGGCAGGUGAGGAGUCAGCCAGGUACGUCUCUCUCUUGGGCAGGUACGCCCAGUCCUCUGGGCUCAUCUCCCCAUGCCCAUGGCCCCUCUUGCAAAUGCUCAUCAAAAGUUAGCAAGGAUGCUGUGCAUUCAUAAGGAUGGUGGAAACGCUGGCUCCAUCCAUUGUUGACUAGAGUACAAAGCAUUACGUUUCUGCUGAAUAGUUUGGCAAUUAAUUUCAGAGCCCUAAAAGCAUGCACAUCCUCCCUCAUACCCACUUAGGAUGGCUACUGUCAAAAGUCAGACAAUAAUAAGUGUCGGUGAGGAUGUAGAGAACCCUUGUGCACUGUUGGUGAGAAUGUAAAAUGAUGCACCCACUGUGGAAAACAGCAUGGCAAUUCUUAAAAAAAUUUAAAAUAG